rnacentral:rRNA from 1 species
UACGAAGGGGGCUAGCGUUGUUCGGAAUUACUGGGCGUAAAGCGCACGUAGGCAGACAUUUAAGUUGGAGGUGAAAGCCUUGGGCUCAACCCAAGAAUUGCCUUUGAUACUGGAUGUCUCGAGACCGGGAGAGGUGAGUGGAAUUCCGAGUGUAGAGGUGAAAUUCGUAGAUAUUCGGAAGAACACCAGUGGCGAAGGCGGCUCACUGGCCCGGUUCUGACGCUGAGGUGCGAAAGCGUGGGGAGCAAACAGG